AAGCUUAUGGCAGUUACUACUAAAUAUAUAUCAUUUCUGUAUAGACACAGGAGGUACAGUAAAUGCACCCCAUAUACACCUCAACCCAGGCCCUUUGCCUGAUCUGUAUUGUGAAUUUGGGGACACAAAA